AAUGAACGUUGGCGGCGUGGAUUAGGCAUGCAAGUCGAGCGAGAACCGGUUUCGGCCGGGGACAGCGGCGAACGGCGUAGUAAUGCAUCGGAACGUACCCUCUGGUCGGGGAUAGCUACGGGAAACUGUAGGUAAUACCCGAUGAUCUCUGCGGAGCAACGGUGAGAUUCCGCCGGAGGAGCGGCUGAUGUGAUAUUAGCUAGUUGGUGGGGUAAUGGCCUACCAAGGCGAUGAUGUCUAGGGGGUGUGAGAGCAUGGCCCCCACGACCGGAACUGAGAUACUGUCCGGACACCUACGGGUGGCUGCAGUCGAGAAUCUUCCGCAAUGGACGAAAGUCUGACGGAGCGACGCCGCGUGCGGGAUGAAGGCCCUUGGGUUGUAAACCGCUGUCAGAGGGGAUGAAAUCUUCGGAGGUACUCCUCCGAAGUUGACAGAGCCUCAAAGGAAGCACGGGCUAAGUACGUGCCAGCAGCCGCCGUAAAAC
rnacentral:rRNA from 1 species